rnacentral:rRNA from 1 species
UGCCAGCAGCCGCGGUAAUACGGAGGGGGCUAGCGUUGUUCGGAAUUACUGGGCAUAAAGAGCACGUAGGCGGCCAAUUAAGUCAGAUGUGAAAGCCCUGGGCUUAACCCGGGAACUGCAUUUGAUACUGAUUGGCUUGAGGACAGCAGGGGUGAGUGGAACUCCAGGUGGAACGGUGAAAUGUGUAGAUAUCUGGAGGAACACCGGUGGCGAAAGCGGCUUUCUGGACCAAAAUUGACGCUGAGGCACGAAAGCGUGGGUAGCAAACAGGAUUAGAUA